AUUUCCUCUCUCUCUCUCUCUCUCUCUCUCUCUCUCUCUGUCACCAGUCGCUGAGAGACAACGCAGAAACGUGAUGGAAAAAAGAUGGAAUAUCAGCUGUGAAAAGAGGUGGACUUGAAGCCAUGAGCAGCCAACAGACAGGCAAGAACCUAAACUUCAGUGGGAAAGAGGCUGAUGAGUGUCAUGUGAUGACAGAGAGUGAGAGCAACCCAAUAAAGAGGAACUGGAGUAUGGAUCGGCUUUAUCAUUUCAUCGGUUCUCAAGAGCGAGAAGGAAGCUGGACUAGACGUUUUUACCUCAACAUGUUUUUGUACUUUUUCCGAUUUUUUCUGUUACAUCGCUUUUACUGAACAAAAACAAAAACACAACUCAGUUUUGUUCUGUUUGUUUAAUGAACUGCCCUUGUAGUUGGUCCUGUAUUUGACGCUGUCCUGAACCUGUGAACUGAUGUUAGACUGACGUCUUCUGGCCAGAUGAGUGAAUGAGUUGCUGUUAACCACUGAAGUGGAAUUUGGGGAAAAGGAGCAUUUUUCAAGUAAAGGAGUUAUUUUUCCAGUUU